rnacentral:rRNA from 1 species
UCCUACGGGAGGCAGCAGUGGGGAAUAUUGCACAAUGGGCGCAAGCCUGAUGCAGCCAUGCCGCGUGUAUGAAGAAGGCCUUCGGGUUGUAAAGUACUUUCAGCGGGGAGGAAGGCGUUGAGGUUAAUAACCUCAGCAAUGACGUACCGCAGAA